AGCUUGUGAAGUCGGUAGCUAAAUCUCAGGAAUGGAAAUGUUGAGAAGGGUAGACUGAUGACUACCCCUCAGUGGAAACAGACCAGAUCUCAGCUUAUCUGGCUGGAAGGAAAGCAAAAGAAACAAAGCAAAACAAACCAAAAAAUCCUAAGAAACAAAAGACAGAUUCAAGCCAAUCUGUGAUUUGCAAAAUAAGCAAGGUGCAGGCUUGUAUACUGGGCCACAAGGUGACUUGGAUUUUUAAGGGUUACACACAUGAGACAACUGCAAUCCAGAGGAAUUCGUGACUGUCCUCGGAGGCCACAGCCCUUUGAUGCCUCUUUCACUCUGCCCAUUAUGUCCCACUGAACAAUUUGGGUGUCAGAGCCAGCCAUUUUGCUCUGUGAGGAAGUAAUUUUGCAGUUGAAUUGGACAUGGUUGCAUUUUCUAGUCUCUACUUUCUCCAAAUAUCCCAGUACUUAGUUUUUGCUCCAGUUGAAAAAAAAA